rnacentral:rRNA from 1 species
UACGGGGGGGGCAAGCGUUGUUCGGAAUUACUGGGCGUAAAGGGCUCGUAGGUGGCCAACUAAGUCGGACGUGAAAUCCCUCGGCUUAACCGGGGAACUGCGUCCAAGACUGGGAGGCUUGAAUCCGGGAGAGGGAUGCGGAAUUCCAGGUGUAGCGGUGAAAUGCGUAGAUAUCUGGAGGAACACCGGUGGCGAAGGCGGCAUCCUGGACCGGUAUUGACACUGAGGCGCGAAAGCCAGGGGAGCAAACGGG